GACGUAGGGGGCCAGCGUUGUUCGGAAUUACUGGGUGUAAAGGGUUUGUAGGCGGUGCGGCAAGUUGGGAGUGAAAUCUCUGGGCUUAACCCAGAGGCUGCUUCCAAAACUGCUGUGCUUGAGUGUGGGAGAGGCGCGUGGAAUUGCAGGUGUAGCGGUGAAAUGCGCAGAUAUCAGGAGGAACACCGGUGGCGAAGGCGGGUCUCUGGGCCGAUACUGACGCUGAGGAGCGAAAGCAUGGGGAGCGAACAGG
rnacentral:rRNA from 1 species